rnacentral:misc_RNA from 1 species
UUUCCGUAGGUGAACCUGCGGAAGGAUCAUUAUUGAAUGCUUCAAGAGGGUCGGAGGGUGCGCCCUGCGCCGGCGGAGACGCCGUGCCGCGGGCCCCCGCCGCCCUCGUCCAACCAAACCCCUGUGCACCUUUUGGGAGGGAGCGGUCCGCGAGGCCCGAGCCCGCCCGUAAUUCACAAGCCCCUUUUCGAACCGAGAACGUGAAACGCGGACUCUGCGCCGCUCUAAAUUGACGAAACAACUUUCAACAACGGAUCUCUUGGCUCUC